AGCCCUGCAGAGAUACGGUUUUACUAGGAAGAAUAUCUGUUCUGUGGUCAUUGUCAUAAAAUUUCUUCAUCAAGUUUCAGCUCCAGUUCUUAAUGUUUUAGGAGGAAAGCAAAAGACUGUUUCCAGAUGUUUGAAAAAUAAUUGUUUUUGGCAGAAUGCUUAGCAAGUGAAGUUUAACGUUGGUUGUGCUCACUACUGAGGAAGUUCAGAAAUUUCAACUUAAACAAUGGAUAUGAAAUGUAUCCUGAAAUUCAAUUUCAGGUCACAUACAAGGAUAUGGGACCCGAGCCAGGUGGCAUAGUCUGGAGCCAGUGCACUGUGAAGAUGAAAGUAUGAGGUCUUUCUGA
rnacentral:lncRNA from 1 species